CAAUAGCGUAUAUUUAAGUUGUUGCAGUUAAAAAGCUCGUAGUUGGAUUUCGGGUGGGACGCAGCGGUCUCGCAUUGCGUUUGUACUGCUGCAGCCCUCCUUCUUGCCGGGGGCGGCCUCUCGGACUUCACUGUCUGGGGGUCAGAAUCGGCGAUGUUACUUUGAGUAAAUUAGAGUGUUCAAAGCGAGCUUACGCUCUGAAUAUAAUAGCAUGGGAUAACACGACAGGACUCUGGCCUAUCGUGUUGGUCUAUAGGACCAGAGUAAUGAUUAAGAGGGACAGUCGGGGGCAUUCGUAUUCCGUUGUCAGAGGUGAAAUUCUUGGAUUUACGGAAGACGAACAUCUGCGAAAGCAUUUGCCAAGGAUGUUUUCAUUGA
rnacentral:rRNA from 1 species